rnacentral:lncRNA from 1 species
AAGGGUGAAGUUGUUCUGGUGUUCCAGCCAGUGUUAAUCCUCUCCCUUACUGCAGAGUUAAGUUGUUCCUGAGCUGAGUGUCAACCUCCUGUGUGGUGACCAGGGUCAUCCAAGUGCCCACCUCGCCGCGGUCAAGCAAUCACAAGCGAUUCCCCAGCUGUACAGUGCAUGUUUCGUGUUCUCCUUAGGUCAUUGAAGCUCACACCAUUUACUGCUUGAACUCUACCACUAUUGGUUGCCUGGAACUAGGUGUGAAAUUUGCUCAAACAUAGGCUGUCAGGUUUCUGGAUCCCAGACUUAGUGCAUAAGGCUGAAACUAGGUUUUAGUGUGUUCAGCUCCAUUUUGGUGCUUCAUAAAAAUUGUUCUGAAUGUUUUCAACCUAGGGGUACUAUACCAAAGUAGUAGAGCUAUAUCUAAGGAAUAACUUUGGUUAUGUGAGCUUGGUCUGUUGCUUUGUAAAAAUUGGAGAAAAGGGUUGGCUAAAGUUUGUCUGUCAGGCUGGACACAUAACUGAAUUUUUAUUCAGUUCUGAAAACUGAAUUGCAGCAGGAUGCCUAGUUUGGAAUUCAUUUGUGACUGAUUCAUGGGGUAUUGGAUUAAAGUUUCCAUAGCAAAGCUGGAGACCAUAGUAAAGAUAGCAAGUUUUAUAAAGUGAGGUGGACUUGGUUCCACAUAAUUUUGGAAGUAAAAGUGGCCAAAAGGUGGACUGUCAGGUGUUAGGAUUCAGACUUAGAAUAAUAUUUAAGUCUGAAUUUGUGUGUUUUUAUUCAAUUUGGGUCCUUGUGGUAAUUAAUCCAAGAAGAAUUGGGGUAGGAAUGUUAUAGCAAAGUGAAAGACCAUGUUAUAAGGAACAAAUCCCUUUAAGCAAGUUAGGCUUGAAUCCACAUAAAGUAGGAAAUAACAGCUGUCCAAACCUGGACUGCCAGAGUGAUUGUGACUGAAUUUUAUUCAGCUUAGUGCUUUGGAAAGGAGAUAAGUUUAUCUAGGGAAGAUAUAAAGUUGCUUAAGAAGUUUUAAGCUUUUGGAUGAGAUAUAAGUUGGAUUAAUUCCCUGGUUUACCUAAGUGAAUUCAAAUUGGUCACUUUAAUCGAGCGUUAAGAAAUAGGUGUAUUCUUGUCAUGUGCUUUAGUUGUAGUGUUUCUGUUCCCCACCUCUCCUUGUGAGAGUUUGCAUUACAUGUCAUUAGAUAAGCAUUCAUGUAUUUGUAAUUGACUUGUAGAACACCUAGACGAGGUGGUAUUUGAAGAAGUCUACUCCAAUGCCUGCUCCUCAAGUGGAUGAAGCCAUCUAACUGGGUAUUGGAUAGAGGGAUCUAGAACCACUUCACUGCAACAAAGGCAAGCCCCGGUGCAUGCAACCCCUUCCUUGUGUUUUUAAAUUAUUUUUACACACUUUAAGUCUAGUGAAUGUGCAUUAGGUUUAUAGGAGUUGCUUGGAAACCCUUUGAUGCAUUGCCUUCCUUGAUAUCCAUACCUUUAUAGAUACUUCUGGUGAAGUAUCAAAAUAUGAUUUAUAAAAAUGCUUAGCCCUGCUUAGAUCUUGUGGAUAGAGGUUGUCUUUUGCAUUAAGGCCUAGCUCAGGGGUUAUCCUGAGGAAAGAUGGCUUCUACCUGCAAGAAUAUUUUCAUUAAGAGCGUGGUGGGAUCUUACUACAAAGUUCCCUUUGAUGCUCUUUUCAUCCUAAGGAAUACAAACAAUCCUAAGGGUGGAAGUACUUAAAUCGGGACUUGGGCUAGGAACAGGUGAUGCUCCGCCUAGGUUAAUUAAGGAUUGGAUGCGUAUGUAGGCCUGUUGAUCAAGGACUAUCUUAACUAGCCACAUGCCCUGGAAAUGGGACAGGGUAAGCUUGAACCCGACUAUUCCAUACGUGAAAAGACAACCGCGCACUGGGCAUGGGAGAUGGUGCGAGUAGCGUGUACCCUCCUGGCUAGAGGCUGGAUGGAGGAGUACUGUGCUCCCGGGUAGCGUGGACCGGUUCAUGUUGUGGAGGAUCUGUGGGAACGGUUGACAUAUGCAAGGGUUAAGUGCUACAUAUGUCGUGUGGUUAGAGAUCCUCAGCUGAGUAAAUCGAUUCGGAUCGCCGUUAUAUCCCCGGAGAGUGGAGACUUGAUCUCCGACCAGCAACCUAAGUCAGGAUGUGAACCUCAUGAAUAAAAAUGAUGUUGUAUUGAUGAGAUGGUGAAAUUAGACUAAAUGCAAACAGAGUCUAUUAAUAUUUAAUCUGGCGUUAAAAUAUUGAAAGUAAGGACUCACUUUAGUAAGCUAUUUCUGCAAAAGUAUCUAAGUUGAUUCUUGCUAAAGCCUCUCCUUGGUUCCCAAAUCCAGCAUAUCCUUGAGAGUCUUUUCUUUAGUCGGGUAAGUCUUGCUGAGUAAUUCCAUACUCAGGGUUUUAUUCCCUGUUGUUUUUCAGGAUAUAACUUUGUGCUGAUGUGAUGGUGUUAAGUGCCGGUGGGCUCAGCCUUCUUAUAUAAGUAUACCCCGUCUUUAUCUUCUUACUGAGGAUGGUCAUUUGAGCUAGCAUAUAUUUCAAACUUAUACUCUUGUAAUCACUCCGAUAAAAUAUUGUAAAAUUUUUGUAACCUGUAAAAUUUGGUAAUAAAAUUUCCGCUGCUAAAAUGCUGUGUGUGUGAUUUUUUGUUACUUAAUCCCGCGGUUCUGGUUGUAAGUGGUUUAUCCGAUGUCCUUGGGGCAAUCGGACGGAUCCUGUUAAGUUAUCUGGUGCACAUGCAUGCCGUCUGAGGUCUUUGAGAUGAGGACAGGUGCAUGUGGGCCCGAUACCUUGGGAGGUUCUGCCACAGCUGGUAUCGGAGCUGGAUUAAGUAUAUACGGUCACAUACGUAUUUUCAAAACAAAAGUUUUGGUUUUAGAAAACCUAUUUUCAACUAAACACAUUGUUUGGCUUUGAAAAACAGUUUUGCAAAACUAUAAUGCUAGCGACAUCCUCUGUUAAGCCCUAAGUUAAGGACUAUAAGGUGGCUUAGUUUAGGAUAUUAACCACUAACCCACAACUAUAAUGUAAUUUUCUGUAGGUACACUAACUAAACCUUAGGAAAGUCCGACUAGUGUUCAAUGACGGAGUGAGUAGAAUUGCCACCGCCAUAGAACGUGAUAGCCACUAUAUGUUGGCAAGAGUUGCAAGGACGUAUAGGACGAGCAUGCAUCAUGUCAUACAACUUUAAGUUAAACCCCCUGCGUAGCUAUUUAGUAUAUGUUUCAUCUACCUUGUUCAUACAUCUUUAGUGAAUAGAGUGUAUCCGUUGCUCUUCUCUAUAGAUGAAUCAACAAGAAGCUCCUACAGGAGUUGGAGAGUUUCUACGAGAUUUUGGUAUUCCAAUGGUCCUGUGGCGACUACUUCAAGAAGUUGGAUAUAUUGAAGCACCUAAGUACCAGUGGUCACGCAUUGUUCUUAGAGGACAACCAUGGUAUGAGGUAGUAGUCCGUAUUCCAGAACGUGCUAGAAAACCAUCUUGGCCACAUUAGAUGUUCCAUGCUGAAGGAAUGACUCCUUGGGAAGGUGCUCAGGUAACUGCCUUAGAGGUGUUGACAACAAUAUGUUACCAGAAGUGGGAAGAAAUACAGGCCACGUCUAUGAGGUUGUUCCCUGCAGUUGCCUUAAGCGACCCAGUGGUGUAUCAUCACCAGGCUCGAUUAAUGGAAAACAUUCCCAUUGGGCAGGAUUCGGUUGAAUCAGCAUCUGCUCGAGUUUUGAUGGCCGUGCUAGAAUUGCAGCUUACUCGAGGGCACAGUCGUCAAAUGUGGCAGCAGUUGUACACUGGGAGUUAUGCAGCAUUUAAGAUGAUGGAAAUGGCCAAGAAUAGGGCUUGUACCCAGGCACAAGAACAACUGGAGGAAACAAAGAUUCAAGCUGAGCGAAUUAUUGGAUUAGAGCAUCAGGUGACAGAACUUCAGACGCAACACCAAGUUGAUCAGCAUCGCAUUAAGGAGCUUGAGCAUCAGCUAACUAAUGCUCAUUCUAAAUCAAAAGUUUUGAGUCAGCAACAAGAAGAAAUUCGCUCGUAUGCUGUUACUGUUAGGGAAGAACUUAAAGAAACCAUGGGCUUCCUAAGUCAUCAGGAUCAGGUGCUUGAGGAGUUGCAUCGUACCUAUCCGAUGGAAUUUCAAAUAGCGCAGCGACUGGUCAACCAUCUGCAACAAACGGUGCAUAUGCUCAAUGGCGCCUUUUAUUCUGCCCCAACACCAACGGACUAAAAGGUACCUAUGGAGCAUGGAAACAAACAUCUGACAGAUGUGAUAACUGGAGAAGAUAUAGCAGGCAACUUAAUCCUCGUGAGGCAAUAUAACUAUGUAAAUUAGUUUUGAAGGGUGGAUGUAAGGUAAACCCAUAUGGCAAUGUUAGCUAGUAAAAAAAAACAGGUUAAACUUUGUUGUAAAGAGUUUAUCCCGUUUCACCUGGAUCAUGUAACCUGUGAGCUUUUCUAUGACUAUGGUGUAAGAAACAACUGCCUGUUUCAGAAGCAACUUUUAAUAUCUAUAGCCAUUUGUCGAAUCCCAAGAGUUAAAAUGGCUAUUCCUUUGGAUAUUCCCUGUGGAUGCACGUGUGUGGAUAAAUGACUUGGUACACGCUGGUACCAUAGUUUCUGGUUGUGUUUCGUGAUGAAAUGGUACCACCGUGAUUUUCCAUGUGAGUCUGUUGAACGAGAAAUGGACAAAUGGAUAGACUUUAUCCAAAACAAAUUAGAUGCAACAUCUUGGGUAAAACACACAGAAAGAGAUUCAUCGCUGAGUCAUCAUUGGAAAUCCGUAGCAUCGGAGACAAGUGCAAAUGUUGAACGACAUCGUGGUUGACUCGUGGUUAAGCGAGACAGAACACCUCCCCUGCCUGGUAGGAUAAAUUGGGAAAUAAGUUUGUGACACAUUUCCUUUUCCGUUACAGAGCCUGAACUCUUAAAUCUCGGGACGAGAUUUCUUUUAGGGGGGAAAGCUGUAACACCCCUGGUGUUACGUAAACUAAAACUCUGACAUGUCAUCAUAAGCAUCUGCAUUAAAGUGCUUGUUACGCCUAGAAUGCAUUUACUAGGUUAAAACUUUACAAAAAGUGUGAUGUUGUGUGUUGAGUAGUGGACUUAGUUAAGGACCUGGUUUAAGCAAAAUGAGGGAAGAUCAUCUCUUGAGCAAGUAACAAAUUGGCUUGGAGUCUUAAAUGUUAAAGGUAAGUCUUAGAGCCUAGAGUAGCCUUGUUUUCGAAUGAUGGUCAAGUGGAAGAAGCGCUUAAGAAGCUGGAAUAACUCCAAACCUUAACUUGAGCUUUGCUUGGAAUAGAUGGUUAAGUAAAGGAAAUUCUAAACCAGGACAUUUUGGAUAUGAGAUAUGUGUAUCAAAGAUUGGAUCUUGAGCUAGAGAGUAACUUUGCUCUAGGUGGAGGGAUCAAAGGGAUGAAUCCCUAGAAGAAGCUGAAACACAAAUGAAACUCAUUUGAAACCCUAAAACUAGCCCAAAAGGGAAAUUCAAAAUCUAGAAGGAUUUAGCUAAAAGUCUAUAUACCAAAAUGGUAGAGCUUGGAAAAGUGAAUAAGUUUCUUAUUUGGAGGAUUCCAUGUUGUGUGGAGAAAUUUGGAGUAAUUUGCAUAAAUUCAGUUUUGGGUUCAGUUUGAAUUGGGCUGAAAACAGUUUCAUAUAGCUGUUUUUGGACACUUAUAACUUUUGAUCUAUGGACUUUUGGUAAGGAGUUGCUAUAACAAACUUGUAAAGUGACUGUUGGAGAACAAUACUUAUUAAGUGUACGAGCCCUAAAACUAUAUGCAACUAGUUGAAAAAGUGGUCCAAAUUAGAGCUGUCAGAUUUUGUAUAUUUCAGACAGUGAAAUUCAGGGUCUGAAUUUCAGUAUUUUGUGCAAACUUUGGGCUAGUGUAGUUUGGAAUCCAAGAGGUUUUGGUUAUUCGUCACUAUACCAAACUUGUAGAGGAACUAUAGGAGUAUAAACUUUAUUAAGCAAUUGUCCCUUAGAAACAUUUGGAACCCAGGAAAAAGAGUGAUUUAAAGUGGUGCUUCUGUGUUUCUGAAUUUUCAGAUUGGAAAUAGUAGCUGAAUUUCAGUGUGGAUAGCAGUUUUGGAGCUGGUUUGUGGCUGUUCUGUAAUGUUUUGUGCUGGGAUGUUUAUAGAGAAGUUGAAGCCUAUAUGAUAGUGAACAAAUCUACUAAAGUGUCUUUGACUUGAUUCCACACAGAAAAUGGAGAAAAGCUUGCUCAAGGUUGGACUGACAGAUAGUACGUUAACUGCAUUUGGUUCAGUUCUGAAAUCUGAAAAUUGCUGUAUGGUGCCAAGUUUGGAGCCCUUUUGUGGUUGUUCUAUAAGGUUUUGGACUGAGGUUUUUGUAGUGGAAGUGAAGACCACCUAAUGGUGAACAACUUUAUUAAAGGAUCAUGGACAUGGUCCCACAUAAAAAGCGGUGUAACAGCUGCUCAAAAUUUGACUCUCAGGUGGCUAGUGACUUAGUUUAUUCAGAAUUUAAAGUCUGAAAUCAGUACGUGAUGCAAAGUUUAGAGCCAUAUUGCGACCAACUCUUGUUGUUUUGGACUAUGAACUAUGUGGCAAAGUUGGAGUCCAUAGUACAGAGAAUAAGUUUUAUCAAUAGGGCUGUACUCGGUUCUACAAAAAAAUGGGAGUAAAACACCUCUAAACUUCCUCUGUUAGAAUCUGUGUAAUGCUGUUUCAGACCUCUGAAACUGAAUUUUCGGUGUUUUUCUUUAGAUUUUGGAGCUUCCUUGUGAUUGAUCCAAGGGGUUUAAGCCUAAGGUCCCUGUGGAGAAGUGGUAGAGAGUCAUUUGGUCGACAAGUUUUGUUAAACUUGCUUCCCCUGUUGCCAUGGAAAACUGAGAGUUUGCAGGGGGUCAACAGGGAGGUGUGCAGAUGAAACAGUAGGCUCAUGCAGUUGAGUUCAGUGUGGUAUAUGGAAUCUGAAGAAGAUCAGUUGCUUUCUGCUAGUGCCACUCGAGUGUGGGAUGGAGAUAAGAUUGAGAUACAUCACUAAAGGUCUAGAGACCCCUCCCCACUAAAAAUUAUCCAAGUAAUUCUGCAUUGUUUUGGGAAACAACAUGCAGUCAAGACCUUAUCUGUUGGUUAUUUGAUGAAGUAAACUGCACCACAAAGGUUCUAGUGGCUACCCUAGCAGAAAUAUCAAGUCUUGGACCUCUUUGUGUUUAGCCACAAGUGGUGUUCUCAGCCACACGUCUGCCUAUCUGUGUUCACUGAAAUAGGUUGAUAUUUUGGGCUAUUAGAGCAUAUCCACAAGGGAUAUUUGUGUGCUAGUUGACCAGGUUCAAUGUUUAAAUUGGGGCUGGGUGCUGGUGUUGUAUGAGGGCAUGUGAGCCACGUAGGCUAGCUGAUAUGUUGCUGGCACCAUGGGAGGACACCUUAGCUGCAUGUCAAACAUGUCAGGAACACCUUGCCCCAUAUUCAAGUAUUUAUAGGGCAUGAUCCAGUAAAGAAUACUCCUUGCCCUCGAGCUCUAACCAAUAACCACUGCAAGGGUGAAGUUGUUCUGGUGUUCCAGCCAGUGUUAAUCCUCUCCCUUACUGCAGAGUUAAGUUGUUCCUGAGCUGAGUGUCAACCUCCUGUGUGGUGACCAGGGUCAUCCAAGUGCCCACCUCGCCGCGGUCAAGCAAUCACAAGCGAUUCCCCAGCUGUACAGUGCAUGUUUCGUGUUCUCCUUAGGUCAUUGAAGCUCACACCAUUUACUGCUUGAACUCUACCACUAUUGGUUGCCUGGAACUAGGUGUGAAAUUUGCUCAAACAUAGGCUGUCAGGUUUCUGGAUCCCAGACUUAGUGCAUAAGGCUGAAACUAGGUUUUAGUGUGUUCAGCUCCAUUUUGGUGCUUCAUAAAAAUUGUUCUGAAUGUUUUCAACCUAGGGGUACUAUACCAAAGUAGUAGAGCUAUAUCUAAGGAAUAACUUUGGUUAUGUGAGCUUGGUCUGUUGCUUUGUAAAAAUUGGAGAAAAGGGUUGGCUAAAGUUUGUCUGUCAGGCUGGACACAUAACUGAAUUUUUAUUCAGUUCUGAAAACUGAAUUGCAGCAGGAUGCCUAGUUUGGAAUUCAUUUGUGACUGAUUCAUGGGGUAUUGGAUUAAAGUUUCCAUAGCAAAGCUGGAGACCAUAGUAAAGAUAGCAAGUUUUAUAAAGUGAGGUGGACUUGGUUCCACAUAAUUUUGGAAGUAAAAGUGGCCAAAAGGUGGACUGUCAGGUGUUAGGAUUCAGACUUAGAAUAAUAUUUAAGUCUGAAUUUGUGUGUUUUUAUUCAAUUUGGGUCCUUGUGGUAAUUAAUCCAAGAAGAAUUGGGGUAGGAAUGUUAUAGCAAAGUGAAAGACCAUGUUAUAAGGAACAAAUCCCUUUAAGCAAGUUAGGCUUGAAUCCACAUAAAGUAGGAAAUAACAGCUGUCCAAACCUGGACUGCCAGAGUGAUUGUGACUGAAUUUUAUUCAGCUUAGUGCUUUGGAAAGGAGAUAAGUUUAUCUAGGGAAGAUAUAAAGUUGCUUAAGAAGUUUUAAGUUGCUUAAGAAGUUUUAAGCUUUUGGAUGAGAUAUAAGUUGGAUUAAUUCCCUGGUUUACCUAAGUGAAUUCAAAUUGGUCACUUUAAUCGAGCGUUAAGAAAUAGGUGUAUUCUUGUCAUGUGCUUUAGUUGUAGUGUUUCUGUUCCCCACCUCUCCUUGUGAGAGUUUGCAUUACAUGUCAUUAGAUAAGCAUUCAUGUAUUUGUAAUUGACUUGUAGAACACCUAGACGAGGUGGUAUUUGAAGAAGUCUACUCCAAUGCCUGCUCCUCAAGUGGAUGAAGCCAUCUAACUGGGUAUUGGAUAGAGGGAUCUAGAACCACUUCACUGCAACAAAGGCAAGCCCCGGUGCAUGCAACCCCUUCCUUGUGUUUUUAAAUUAUUUUUACACACUUUAAGUCUAGUGAAUGUGCAUUAGGUUUAUAGGAGUUGCUUGGAAACCCUUUGAUGCAUUGCCUUCCUUGAUAUCCAUACCUUUAUAGAUACUUCUGGUGAAGUAUCAAAAUAUGAUUUAUAAAAAUGCUUAGCCCUGCUUAGAUCUUGUGGAUAGAGGUUGUCUUUUGCAUUAAGGCCUAGCUCAGGGGUUAUCCUGAGGAAAGAUGGCUUCUACCUGCAAGAAUAUUUUCAUUAAGAGCGUGGUGGGAUCUUACUACAAAGUUCCCUUUGAUGCUCUUUUCAUCCUAAGGAAUACAAACAAUCCUAAGGGUGGAAGUACUUAAAUCGGGACUUGGGCUAGGAACAGGUGAUGCUCCGCCUAGGUUAAUUAAGGAUUGGAUGCGUAUGUAGGCCUGUUGAUCAAGGACUAUCUUAACUAGCCACAUGCCCUGGAAAUGGGACAGGGUAAGCUUGAACCCGGCUAUUCCAUACGUGAAAAGACAACCGCGCACUGGGCGUGGGAGAUGGUGGGAGUAGCGUGUACCCUCCUGGCUAGAGGCUGGAUGGAGGAGUACUGUGCUCCCGGGUAGCGUGGACCGGUUCACGUUGUGGAGGAUCUGUGGGAACGGUUGACAUAUGCAAGGGUUAAGUGCUACAUAUGUCGUGUGGUUAGAGAUCCUCAGCUGAGUAAAUCGAUUCGGAUCGCCGUUAUAUCCCCGGAGAGUGGAGACUUGAUCUCCGACCAGCAACCUAAGUCAGGAUGUGAACCUCAUGAAUAAAAAUGAUGUUGUAUUGAUGAGAUGGUGAAAUUAGACUAGAUGCAAACAGAGUCUAUUAAUAUUUAAUCUGGCGUUAAAAUAUUGAAAGUAAGGACUCACUUUAGUAAGCUAUUUCUGCAAAAGUAUCUAAGUUGAUUCUUGCUAAUGCCUCUCCUUGGUUCCCAAAUCCAGCAUAUCCUUGAGAGUCUUUUCUUUAGUCGGGUAAGUCUUGCUGAGUAAUUCCAUACUCAGGGUUUUAUUCCCUGUUGUUUUUCAGGAUAUAACUUUGUGCUGAUGUGAUGGUGUUAAGUGCCGGUGGGCUCGGCCUUCUUAUAUAAGUAUACCCCGUCUUUAUCUUCUUACUGAGGAUGGUCAUUUGAGCUAGCAUAUAUUUCAAACUUAUACUCUUGUAAUCACUCCGAUAAAAUAUUGUAAAAUUUUUGUAACCUGUA